GCGAACGCUGGCGGCAGGCCUAACACAUGCAAGUCGAACGGAUCCUUCGGGAUUAGUGGCGGACGGGUGAGUCACACGUGGGAACGUGCCCUUUGGUUCGGAACAACUCAGGGAAACUUGAGCUAAUACCGGAUGUGCCCUUCGGGGGAAAGAUUUAUCGCCAUUGGAGCGGCCCGCGUCUGAUUAGCUAGUUGGUGAGGUAACGGCCCACCAAGGCGACGAUCAGUAGCUGGUCUGAGAGGAUGAUCAGCCACACUGGGACUGAGACACGGCCCAGACUCCUACGGGAGGCAGCAGUGGGGAAUCUUGCGCAAUGGGCGAAAGCCUGACGCAGCCAUGCCGCGUGAAUGAUGAAGGUCUUAGGAUUGUAAAAUUCUUUCAGCGGGGACGAUAAUGACGGUACCCGCAGAAGAAGCGCCGGCUAACUUCGUG
rnacentral:rRNA from 1 species